UUUAUACAGACGUAAGAGUGCGGUACAAACCACUAAAAAUUUUCGGUACCAUGUUUUCUUCUUCUUUGUUGGGCAGAAGUUUAACGAGGGGGCUAGUUAUUACCAUUUUUCGGUUGUUUUUUACGCAUCGGUUUACCCCUCCUGACAAAAUUUUGACAGUUUCGCCCGUUUCGCCUGUUUGGCUCCGCCGACUCCGUCACCACCGCCGCGGCAAAAGUUUGUUGUUGUUGUGCUCCCUUUUUAACUUUUCAUAAGAUUCGAUUGCUGGAGUUUUUUUUUUGUAUUAUUGCUCUUGUUUUCGUAAUGCUAGCGCACAAAAGCGCCAGGUUAAGCGGUUCUGGAGUGCCAAUAGCUCGCGUAUUCACAGCAGACGUCGCAGCGUGAGAAGUUCCAGCAGAAACCGUGCGGUAUGCCACAUCAUCUCCACAUCCCUGCCGUAGAAUCGAUCAAAUCCUUGAUCGUUGGUGCCCUCCCGGGUAACCGCAACACCUGACAUUGUUGUGAUGGGGUGUGAGCCACACCACAGCAAGAACAUUCUGCUCUUCUCCAAGAUAGCCAGGGAAGGCAAAUUCUACGAGAUCCGUGAGGAUGCGGUCGCUGUGAGGCCUGGAGAGGCACUUCGGAUAUAUCGACGGGAACUUCGAAAAGGCCGACGUUGGGGUGGAGGAAACGAGGAAGAACACGUUAAAAAUUUCAUAAAUCACAGGAAGCUUACGGAGAUGCCUAGGCGACGGA